rnacentral:rRNA from 1 species
GCUAAGAAUAUUCCGCAAUGGACGAAAGUCUGACGGAGCGACGCCGCGUGGAUGAAGAAGGCCGAAAGGUUGUAAAGUUCUUUUGUUGGGGAAGAAUAACCAUGGGAGGGAAUGCCCGUGGGAUGACAUGAACCGACGAAUAAGCCCCGGCUAACUACGUGCCAGCAGCCGCGGUAACACGUAGGGGGCGAGCGUUGUUCGGAAUUACUGGGCGUAAAGGGCAUGUAGGCGGUCUUGUAAGCUUGGCGUGAAAGACCACGGCUCAACCGUGGGAUUGCGUUGAGAACUGCGAGGCUUGAGUGACGGAGAGGGAGCUAGAAUUCCUGGUGUAGGGGUGGAAUCUGUAGAGAUCAGGAAGAAUACCAAUGGCGAAGGCAAGCUCCUGGCCGAUGACUGACGCUGAGGUGCGAAAGUGUGGGGAUCAAACAGGAUUAGAAACCCGAGUAGUCC